rnacentral:sRNA from 1 species
GCCAGGUGUAGUGGCGCAUGCCUGUAAUCCCAGUUAUUCAGGAGGCUGAGGCAAGAGGAUCACAAGUUUGAGGCCAGCCUCUGCAACUUAGUGAGACCCUGUCUCAA